rnacentral:rRNA from 1 species
GACGAACGCUGGCGGCGUGCUUAACACAUGCAAGUCGAACGGUGACGAGGAGCUUGCUCCUCCGAUCAGUGGCGAACGGGUGAGUAAAGCAUCGGAACGUGCCCUGGAGUGGGGGAUAACGUAGCGAAAGUUACGCUAAUACCGCAUAUUCUGUGAGCAGGAAAGCAGGGGAUCGAAAGACCUUGCGCUCUGGGAGCGGCCGAUGUCGGAUUAGCUAGUUGGUGGGGUAAAGGCCUACCAAGGCGACGAUCCAUAGCUGGUCUGAGAGGAUGAUCAGCCACAUUGGGACUGAGACACGGCCCAAACUCCUACGGGAGGCAGCAGUGGGGAAUAUUGGACAAUGGGCGCAAGCCUGAUCCAGCCAUGCCGCGUGAGUGAUGAAGGCCCUAGGGUUGUAAAGCUCUUUCACCGGUGAAGAUAAUGACGGUAACCGGAGAAGAAGCCCCGGCUAACUUCGUG